rnacentral:rRNA from 1 species
AGUGAACGCUGGCGGUAGGCCUAACACAUGCAAGUCAAACGGCAGCACAGUAAGAGCUUGCUCUUACGGGUGGCGAGUGGCGGACGGGUGAGGAAUACAUCGGAAUCUACUUUUUCAUGGGGGAUAACGUAGGGAAACUUACGCUAAUACCGCAUACGACCUACGGGUGAAAGCAGGGGAUCUUCGGACCUUGCGCGAUUGAAUGAGCCGAUGUCGGAUUAGCUAGUUGGCGGGGUAAAGGCCCACCAAGGCGACGAUCCGUUGCUGGUCUGAGAGGAUGAUCAGCCACACUGGAACUGAGACACGGUCCAGACUCCUACGGGAGGCAGCAGUGGGGAAUAUUGGACAAUGGGCGCAAGCCUGAUCCAGCCAUACCGCGUGGGUGAAGAAGGCCUUCGGGUUGUAAAGCCCUUUUGUUGGGAAAGAAAAGCAGCAGGUUAAUACCCCGCUGUUCUGACGGUACCCAAAGAAUAAGCACCGGCUAACUUCGUG